UCCGGCCUGUCUUGUCUCCUAGU
rnacentral:miRNA from 1 species